GACGAACGCUGGCGGCGUGCUUAACACAUGCAAGUCGAACGGAAAGGCCCUGCUUUUGUGGGGUACUCGAGUGGAGCGCGGGAGUGAAACGCGAGAAUAACCUGCCCAUGACUUUGGGAUAACUUCGGGAAACUGGGUCUUAUACCAGAUAGGAGCUCCUGCUGCGUGGUGGGUGUUGGAGAGUUUCGGCGGUUGGGGAUGGACUCGCGGCUUAUCAGCUUGUUGGUGGGGUAGUGGCUUACCAAGGCUUUGACGGGUAGCCGGCCUGAGAGGGUGACCGGCCACAUUGGGACUGAGAUACGGCCCAGACUCCUACGGGAGGCAGCAGUGGGGAAUAUUGCACAAUGGGCGGAAGCCUGAUGCAGCAACGCCGCGUGCGGGAUGACGGCCUUCGGGUUGUAAACCUCUUUCGGCUGGGACGAAGCGAGAGUGACGGUAACUGGUGAAGAAGCACCGGCUAACUACGUG
rnacentral:rRNA from 1 species